rnacentral:rRNA from 1 species
GACGAACGCUGGCGGCGUGCUUAAUACAUGCAAGUCAACUGAACUUUAGGUAGCAAUAUUUAAAGGGAGGUGGCGCACGGGUGAGUAACACGUAGGUAAUCUGCCUUCAGGACUGACAUAACUCCGCGAAAGCGGGACUAAAAUCAGAUGAUGCAGCGGCUCGACAUCGAGACAGUUGUUAAACCUUCGGGGCCUGAAGAUGAGCCUGCGUCUGAUUAGGUAGUUGGAGGGGUAAUGGCCACCAAGCCUGCGAUCAGUAGCUGGUCUGAGAGGAUGAUCAGCCACACUGGAACUGAGACACGGUCCAGACUCCUACGGGAGGCAGCAGUAAGGAAUAUUGCUCAAUGGCCGAAAGGCUGAAGCAGCAACGCCGCGUGGAGGAUGAAAUACUUUAGUAUGUAAACUCCUGUAAGAGGGGAAAAAUAUACAGUUCUGCUGUAUUGAUUGUACCCUCAGAGUAAGCACCGGCUAACU